rnacentral:tRNA from 1 species
GCCCGGAUGGCCUAGCAGGUCAAGGCGCCAGACUCAUAGGGAUGUUUAUAACAGGCGUCUUAAAUCUCCUGAGAAAUCUGGAGACCGCGUGUUCGAGUCACGCUCCGGGCA